CUUUCUGGGGUCCCGCAUUGUCCUCCCCAGACGUGCGGUCCGUGUACGCGAUGUGGGUCUGGGCAACUGAAUUUUUGGACUCCAUCCUGCUGAAGUUGUUCCAGCAGCAUCUAGUCUUGAUGCUUCCCCUACCUUUUUGGGGUUGGAGUGAGCGACAAGGUUUUAGAACCUGGAAAUACUUGGAAGCGAUUUUCCCAGUUAAGACCCCAUUUCUCAGUGGAAUAUUUGUUUAUUUUGGCUUUAGUAAGUACUCUGAGCGAUUUCUCCUACCAAACCCAGUUACCCAAAAGGAAUCCGUGCCUGGGACACCUUCCAGCAAAGCUCGGGGCGGUGACGAGCAGUGGCCUGUGUUGUGAUCAGCGCGCAGGGGGCGGAGCGCCGCGGCGGGCGCGCCUUAGCCACCGGAUCUGUUUACUGUCAACUCAUUCUACGUUUGGGGAAAGCGCACCACCUGCUGGCCAAGCCGCGCCUAGCGGUGAAACCAAGGAUCCGAAAAAUAUCCCGAAGUUUAGAACAGAUGGCGUUUUGAAGUUCUGGGGCGAAGUCAUGCAAGGAUCAGUCAUUACUGUUUUGAAGUUAACAAUGGAAGCCCAUUGGCAAUGAAAAGACGAAAUAUCCAUGUGUUAGCAAAUGACCACCGUCAGUCGUAGAUGUCCAGCUGGCUUGCCCAGCAGUGAAAUUAUAGGAUUUCCUCUGUGCUUUCAGCCCUAGACUUUUCUACAAGACCUCCUGACCUUCAUCCAACUCAGUAUCCACUCACUUCCCGGACUCAGGCUCUUACUGGUUUAUAUAAAGUUAUAUACUUUAUCCUAGGAAAAUUAAAUAAUUAUCCUGACUAAAGACAAUUUCA